GACGAACGCUGGCGGCGUGCUUAACACAUGCAAGUCGAACGGAAAGGCCCUGCUUUUGUGGGGUUCUCGAGUGGCGAACGGGUGAGUAACACGUGAGUAACCUGCCCUUGCCUUUGGGAUAACUUCAGGAAACUGGGGCUAAUCCCGGAUAGGAGCUCCUGCUGCAUGGUGGGCGUUGGAUCGUUUCGGCGGUUGUGUAUGGAUUCGCGGCUUAUCAGCUUGUUGGUGGGGUAGUGGCUUACCAAGGCUUUGGCCGGUCGCUGGCCUUGGAGGGUGACCGGCCACAUGAGGACUGGGAGAGGGCCCAGACGCCAACGGGAGGCAACGGUGGGGAGUAUUGCACAAUGGGAGGAAGCCUGAUGCAGCAACGCCGCGGGCGGGAUGACGGCCUGCUGGUUGUAAACCGCUGUCGCCUGUGACGAAGCGUGAGUGACGGUAAUGGGUAAAGAAGCACCGGCUAACUACGUG
rnacentral:rRNA from 1 species